rnacentral:rRNA from 1 species
GAAACUUAAGGAAGUUGACGGGGCCGCACAAGCGGUGGAGCAUGUGGUUAAUUCGAAGCAACGCGAAGAACCUUACCAGGUCUUGACAUCCCUGACAACCCGAGAGAUCGGCGUCCCCUUCGGGGACAGGGUGACAGGUGGUGCAUGGUUGUCGUCAGCUCGUGUCGUGAGAUGUUGGGUUAAGUCCCGCAACGAGCGCAACCCUCGACCUUAGUUGCCAGCAUUCAGUUGGGCACUCUAAGGUGACUGCCGGCUAAAAGUCGGAGGAAGGUGGGAUGACGUCAAAUCAUCAUGCCCCUUAUGUUCUGGGCUACACACGUGCUACAAUGGCCGGUACAGACGGACGCAAAGCCGCGAGGUGGAGCAAAUCCUAAAAAGCCGGUCUCAGUUCGGAUUGCAGGCUGCAAUUCGCCUGCAUGAAGUCGGAAUCGCUAGUAAUCGCAGGUCAGCAUACUGCGGUGAAUACGUUCCCGGGCCUU